rnacentral:rRNA from 1 species
UACGUAGGGGGCAAGCGUUGUCCGGAAUCAUUGGGCGUAAAGAGCGUGUAGGCGGCCCGAUAAGUCCGCUGUGAAAGUCCAGGGCUCAACCCUGGAAUGCCGGUGGAUACUGUCGGGCUCGAAUCCGGAAGAGGUGAGUGGAAUUCCCGGUGUAGCGGUGAAAUGCGCAGAUAUCGGGAAGAACUCCAAUGGCGAAGGCAGCUCGCUGGGACGGUACUGACGCUGAGAUGCGAAAGCGUGGGGAGCAAACAGG